AGUUGGGACUAAAUCAUUCUAUGCUGCUUGGAAGAAAGAAGGAUCGAAAGCUGUAAAUGUGAUCCUGGAUGCAGCCACUGCCCAUCCUGCCCUCCUCCUGUCUGAAGAUGGGAAGCGAGUAACCUGGCAAGAGCC